rnacentral:tRNA from 1 species
GGCCGGUUAGCUCAGUAGGUUAGAGUGUGGUGCUAAUAACGCCAAGGUCGUGGGUUCGAUCCUGUACGGGCCA